rnacentral:rRNA from 1 species
UGGGGAAUAUUGCACAAUGGGCGCAAGCCUGAUGCAGCCAUGCCGCGUGUGUGAAGAAGGCCUUCGGGUUGUAAAGCACUUUCAGCGAGGAGGAAGGUGGUGAACUUAAUACGUUCAUCAAUUGACGUUACUCGCAGAAGAAGCACCGGCUAACUCCGUGCCAGCAGCCGCGGUAAUACGGAGGGUGCAAGCGUUAAUCGGAAUUACUGGGCGUAAAGCGCACGCAGGCGGUUUGUUAAGUCAGAUGUGAAAUCCCCGGGCUCAACCUGGGAACUGCAUUUGAAACUGGCAAGCUAGAGUCUCGUAGAGGGGGGUAGAAUUCCAGGUGUAGCGGUGAAAUGCGUAGAGAUCUGGAGGAAUACCGGUGGCGAAGGCGGCCCCCCUGGACGAAGACUGACGCUCAGGUGCGAAGGCGUGGGGCAGCAAACAGGAUUAGAUACCCUGGUAGUCCACGCUGUAAACGAUGUCGAUUUGGAGGUUGUGCCCCUUGAGGCGUGGCUUCCGGAGCUAACGCGUUAAAUCGACCGCCUGGGGAGUACGGCCGCAAGGUUAAAACUCAAAUGAAUUG